rnacentral:rRNA from 1 species
GACGAACGCUGGCGGCGUGCUUAACACAUGCAAGUCGAACGGAAAGGCCCUGCUUUUGUGGGGUGCUCGAGUGGCGAACGGGUGGGUAACACGUGAGUAACCUGCCCUUGACUUUGGGAUAACUUCAGGAAACUGGGGCUAAUACCGGAUAGGAGCCCCUGCUGCAUGGUGGGGGUUGGAAAGUUUCGGCGGUUGGGGAUGGACUCGCGGCUUAUCAGCUUGUUGGUGGGGUAGUGGCUUACCAAGGCUUUGACGGGUAGCCGGCCUGAGAGGGUGACCGGCCACAUGGGGACUGAGAUACGGCCCAGACUCCUACGGGAGGCAGCAGUGGGGAAUAUUGCACAAUGGGCGGAAGCCUGAUGCAGCAACGCCGCGUGCGGGAUGACGGCCUUCGGGUUGUAAACCGCUUUCGCCUGUGACGAAGCGUGAGUGACGGUAAUGGGUAAAGAAGCACCGGCUAACUACGUG